rnacentral:rRNA from 1 species
AAUAUAACGGGGCUCAAGCACGACACCGAAGCCGUCGACUCAUCGAUCCUGCGGGAUUGAUGAUUGGUAGAAGAGCGUUCUCUGGACGUUGAAGCUAGAUCGCAAGGACUAGUGGAGACCAGAGAAGUGACCCUGCCGGCAUAAGUAGCGAUAAGGGAAGUGAGAAUCUUCCCCACCGUAAGCCUAAGGUUUCCUGAGGAAGGUUCGUCCGCUCAGGGUUAGUCGGGACCUAACGCGAGGCCGAAAGGCGUAGCGGAUGGAUGUCCGGUUAAUAUUCCGGAACUACCUAGAGCACGUUUGUACGAAGGGGGGACGCAGAAAGCUAUGCGAGCCGGCGGUUGGAAGUGCCGGUUGAGGUUGUAGGGGGAUUCGCCAGGCAAAUCCGGUGAGUCAUUCAACCCUGAGAGACCGAAGCGAGCACCGCAAGGUGCACAAAGUCGCAGACGCUACGCUGCCAAGAAAAGCCUCUAAGGAGUGAGCUAGGUACCCGUACCGCAAACCGACACAGGUAGGCGAGGAGAAAAUCCUCAGGUGCAAGUGAGAACCCUCGUUUAGGAACUCGGCAACUUGACCCCGUAACUUCGGAAGAAGGGGUGCUCGAUCUUGUGUAGGGGUUUACCCCCGAAGCAUCAUCGAGUUGCAAUAAAGAGGCCCAAGCGACUGUUUACUAAAAACACAGGACUCUGCAAAGUCGAAUACGACGUAUAGGGUCUGACUCCUGCCCGGUGCCGGAAGGUCAAAGGGAGAGGUUAGCCGCAAGGCGAAGCUUCGAGCUCAAGCCCCGGUAAACGGCGGCCGUAGCUAUAACGGUCCUAAGGUAGCGAAAUUCCUUGUCGGGUAAGUUCCGACCUGCACGAAUGGAGUAACGAUUUGGGCGCUGUCUCAACGAGGGGCACUGCGAAUUUGUGGUACCGGUGAAGACGCCGGUUGCCCGUGGCUAGACGAAAAGACCCCGUGCACCUUUACUGCAUCUUAGUAGUGAAUGUUGCCGCAAUCUGCGCAGGAUAGGUAGGAGACUUUGAACCCGGGUUUUUGGAUUCGGGGGAGUCAACGGUGAGAUACUACCCUGAUUGCUGCGACGUUCUAACUGAGCCCUGUCAUCCAGGGCCAGGACACUGCUAGGUGGGUAGUUUGACUGGGGCGGUCGCCUCCUAAAUUGUAACGGAGGCGCGCGAAGGUUCGCUCAGGCUGUUUGGAAAUCAGCCGUAGAGUGCAAAAGCACAAGCGAGCUUGACUGCGAGACUUACAAGUCGAGCAGGUGGGAAACCAGGCUUUAGUGAUCCGGUGGUUCCGCGUGGAAGGGCCAUCGCUCAACGGAUAAAAGGUACGCCGGGGAUAACAGGCUGAUCUGAGCCAAGAGUUCACAUCGCCGCUCAGGUUUGGCACCUCGAUGUCGGCUCAUCGCAUCCUGGAGCUGUAGCAGGUUCCAAGGGUCCGGCUGUUCGCCGGUUAAAGCGGUACGUGAGCUGGGUUUAGAACGUCGCGAGACAGUUCGGUCUCUAUCUGCCAUGGGCGCAGGAAAUUUGAGUGGGGUUGACCUUAGUACGAGAGGACCGGGUUGAACGCACCUCUAGUGUACGAGUUGUCGUGCCAACGGCAGUGCUCGGUAGCUACGUGCGGACGGGAGAAACGCUGAAAGCAUCUAAGCGUGAAACCCUCCACGAGAUGAGAUUUCCCUGGGGCAUAAGCCCCCUGAAGGCACCUGGAAGAUGACCAGGUUGAUAGGUCGGGUGUGGACAUGCUGCGAAGCAUGAAGCUUACCGAUACUAAUCUGCCGUGAGGCUUGAUCAA